GAUGAACGCUAGCGGCAGGCCUAACACAUGCAAGUCGAGGGGUAGAAGGAGCUUGCUCCUUUGAGACCGGCGCACGGGUGCGUAACGCGUAUGCAAUCUACCUUGUACAGGGGAAUAGCCCAGAGAAAUUUGGAUUAAUGCCCCAUAGUAUAUAACCUUCGCAUGUUGGUUAUAUUAAAGUUCCAACGGUACAAGAUGAGCAUGCGUCCCAUUAGUUAGUUGGUAAGGUAACGGCUUACCAAGACGAUGAUGGGUAGGGGUCCUGAGAGGGAGAUCCCCCACACUGGUACUGAGACACGGACCAGACUCCUACGGGAGGCAGCAGUGAGGAAUAUUGGCCAAUGGUCGCAAGACUGAACCAGCCAUGCCGCGUGCAGGAAGACGGUCCUAUGGAUUGUAAACUGCUUUUAUACAGGAAGAAACCCUCCCACGUGUGGGAGCUUGACGGUACUGUAGGAAUAAGGAUCGGCUAACUCCGUG
rnacentral:rRNA from 1 species